rfam:Streptococcus pyogenes MGAS10270, complete genome.
AUUUUAUUGAAUAGGAUAGGCUUAAAAGCCUUGAUACUAAGCACUUUGGGGCAUUAUUCCAAGGUGCUUUUUUUGAUUUU